rnacentral:rRNA from 1 species
GAUGAACGCUGGCGGCGUGCCUAAUACAUGCAAGUCGAGCGAACAGACGAGGAGCUUGCUCCUCUGACGUUAGCGGCGGACGGGUGAGUAACACGUGGAUAACCUACCUAUAAGACUGGGAUAACUUCGGGAAACCGGAGCUAAUACCGGAUAAUAUAUUGAACCGCAUGGUUCAAUAGUGAAAGACGGUUUUGCUGUCACUUAUAGAUGGAUCCGCGCCGCAUUAGCUAGUUGGUAAGGUAACGGCUUACCAAGGCAACGAUGCGUAGCCGACCUGAGAGGGUGAUCGGCCACACUGGAACUGAGACACGGUCCAGACUCCUACGGGAGGCAGCAGUAGGGAAUCUUCCGCAAUGGGCGAAAGCCUGACGGAGCAACGCCGCGUGAGUGAUGAGGGUCUUCGGAUCGUAAAACUCUGUCAUUAGGGAAGAACAAAUGUGUAAGUAACUACGCACGUCUUGACGGUACCUAAUCAGAAAGCCACGGCUAACUACGUG